GCGCUCCACAAUUUUUGAUGUUUGCUCAUGAUUAAUAAUUCUAAGACAUGGUUUAUAGCUCAAAUCAACAAUCUGUUCCCAAAGAAGAGGAAUUGAACCUCGAACCUGCAAUAAUGUGAAACCUUCAAGCUCCAGCAAUUGCUCAGUUUCAAUAAAAUUAGCAGUAUCUCCUUCAAGGUUAGCUCCUCUUCUCCACAUUCUUGUUCCUAGCCGUCGAGUACACCUUCUUGAAAGUAA
rnacentral:misc_RNA from 1 species